UGGGGAAUAUUGCACAAUGGGCGCAAGCCUGAUGCAGCCAUGCCGCGUGUGUGAAGAAGGCCUUCGGGUUGUAAAGCACUUUCAGCGGGGAGGAAGGCGUUAAGGUUAAUAACCUUGGCGAUUGACGUUACCCGCAGAAGAAGCACCGGCUAACUCCGUGCCAGCAGCCGCGGUAAUACGGAGGGUGCAAGCGUUAAUCGGAAUUACUGGGCGUAAAGCGCACGCAGGCGGUCUGUCAAGUCGGAUGUGAAAUCCCCGGGCUCAACCUGGGAACUGCAUUCGAAACUGGCAGGCUAGAGUCUUGUAGAGGGGGGUAGAAUUCCAGGUGUAGCGGUGAAAUGCGUAGAGAUCUGGAGGAAUACCGGUGGCGAAGGCGGCCCCCUGGUCAAAGACUGACGCUCAGGUGCGAAAGCGUGGGGAGCAAACAGG
rnacentral:rRNA from 1 species